UGGGGAAUAUUGCACAAUGGGGGAAACCCUGAUGCAGCGACGCCGCGUGAGCGAAGAAGGUUUUCGAAUCGUAAAGCUCUGUCCUAUGAGAAGAUAAUGACGGUAUCAUAGGAGGAAGCCCCGGCUAAAUACGUGCCAGCAGCCGCGGUAAUACGUAUGGGGCGAGCGUUGUCCGGAAUUAUUGGGCGUAAAGGGUACGUAGGCGGUCUAUUAAGUCAGGUGUGAAAGCGUGAGGCUUAACCUCAUUAAGCACUUGAAACUGAUAGACUUGAGUGAAGGAGAGGAAAGUGGAAUUCCUAGUGUAGCGGUGAAAUGCGUAGAUAUUAGGAGGAAUACCGGUGGCGAAGGCGGCUCUCUGGUCUGUAACUGACGCUGAGGCUCGAAAGCGUGGGGAGCGAACAGG
rnacentral:rRNA from 1 species